AAUAAGGGCAAAACACUAACUUCUUAGGUUUAAGAUGAGGAUCAAGUUAAUGACUAAGAGCUUAACAUAGUAUUUGACGUAAAGUAGUGCUCAAUAAAUAUUCAUUCCCAUAGGACUUUUUCCCCAACUCAGCAGUCCACAACUGCAGAAAUCAGUCUCCAGUUGGUAGCUAACAGGAAAGCUGAAUUAAUUAAGUGGACACUGCCUACCCCAGUGUCCCCAUGUCUCUCUGGCCCUUGGUGAGAUUAUACAGAACCAUCAUGAUGAAAUGUCUUCUUCAACCUGGGAGCUGAUCUGAAAUUUAUUAAAUUUAAAUUUAAUAAUCAAAUGCCACUGAAGACUGUGAUGCUUAAGGAACAAGACAGAAAAGCAGCAGAAAGAGCACCAACAUCUCUCCUGCAGGCCUUCCAAGGCCCUCCAGGUCGUCAAGGCUGAUACACAAGGGAGUCAGACCUGGGGAGGAGGAACAUGGAAGAGAAUGGAAGCCCACCUGAUUGAUGUGUUAACCUAGUGACUCUGAGAGAAAUAACUGGCAGUGCUGACUGUAAAUUUGUCACCAGCACUAUUUCAUUCAACAACUAUGUAUUGACCAACUACUAUAAGACUAAAGUCAUGGGUGUUGUGGAGAUGCUGCAGCAAGUGGUCCUGACCACAGACUGGAAUCACACAGACCUGAGACUGAUUCCUAACUCUGCCACUGAUUGGCCUGUGAUCUUAGGGGCUUGGAUGCUGGGUGAGGAUUGACUCUCAACUGUGCCACUGGCUGGCUGUGUGACCUUGAAGAGGAAGCCUCAGUUUCUCUGUCUUUCAGGUGGAGUUGGCAAAGAUUUCUACUUCACAGAGCAGUUGAGAGUUGUAUAUGUGAAAAUAUGUGCCAGCAAAGCUUCUAGCAUAGUACUGGCUUACAGAAGGUAGUCAAUAAGAGAAAUUUCUUUUUCCAUCCUUCCCUUUAGACCUUCCUACUAGAACCUAGACUUGUUGGAUGACCCCCUUUCCUAUGCAGCAAAUAAAGGCUACUUGACCUUGUGAUCCCUGGGCUAA
rnacentral:lncRNA from 13 species